AUACGGAGGGUGCAAGCGUUGUUCGGAAUCACUGGGCGUAAAGGGCGCGCAGGCGGUUUGGUAAGUCAGAUGUGAAAGCCCACGGCUCAACCGUGGAAGUGCAUUUGAAACUGCCAGACUUGAGUACCAGAGGGGAAAGUGGAAUUCCCGGUGUAGAGGUGAAAUUCGUAGAUAUCGGGAGGAAUACCGGUGGCGAAGGCGACUUUCUGGCUGGAUACUGACGCUGAGGCGCGAAAGCGUGGGGAGCAAACAGGAUUAGAUACCCCUGUAGUCC
rnacentral:rRNA from 1 species